UACGUAGGGUGCAAGCGUUAAUCGGAAUUACUGGGUGUAAAGCGUGCGCAGGCGGUUGUGUAAGACAGAUGUGAAAUCCCCGGGCUCAACCUGGGAACUGCAUUUGUGACUGCACGGCUGGAGUGCGGCAGAGGGGGAUGGAAUUCCGCGUGUAGCAGUGAAAUGCGUAGAUAUGCGGAGGAACACCGAUGGCGAAGGCAAUCCCCUGGGCCUGCACUGACGCUCAUGCACGAAAGCGUGGGGAGCAAACAGG
rnacentral:rRNA from 1 species